rnacentral:rRNA from 1 species
UACGGGGGGGGUAAGCGUUGUUCGGAAUUACUGGGCGUAAAGGGCUCGUAGGCGGCCAACUAAGUCGGACGUAAAAUCCCUCAGCUUAACUGGGGAACUGCGUCCGAUACUGGAUGGCUUGGAUUUGGGAGAGGGAUGCGGAAUUCCAGGUGUAGCGGUGAAAUGCGUAGAUAUCUGGAGGAACACCGGUGGCGAAGGCGGCAUCCUGGACCAAUAUUGACGCUGAGGAGCGAAAGCCAGGGGAGCAAACGGG